AGCGAACGCUGGCGGCAGGCUUAACACAUGCAAGUCGAGCGGGCAUCCUUGUGGUGUCAGCGGCAGACGGGUGAGUAACGCGUGGGAACGUGCCCUUCGGUUCGGAAUAACUCAGGGAAACUUGAGCUAAUACCGGAUACGUGCGAGAGCAGAAAGGUUUAUCUGCCGAAGGAUCGGCCCGCGUCUGUUUAGCUAGUUGGUGAGGUUUCGGCUCACCAAGGCGACGAUCAGUAGCUGGUCUGAGAGGAUGAUCAGCCACACUGGGACUGAGACACGGCCCAGACUCCUACGGGAGGCAGCAGUGGGGAAUAUUGGACAAUGGGGGCAACCCUGAUCCAGCCAUGCCGCGUGAGUGAUGACGGCCUUAGGGUUGUAAAGCUCUUUUCUCCGGGACGAUAAUGACGGUACCGGAGGAAUAAGCCCCGGCUAACUUCGUG
rnacentral:rRNA from 1 species